rnacentral:ncRNA from 2 species
AUUGCGCUAGGCAAUGAAGUCUGCCUGAACCGCCCUCCUUUUUGUCUGCCUGCAAGCAGCAAGGGCUGAUGACUUCUACCGUUUC